UCCAGUAUCAUAAUAGUAACAAAUAUUAACUGAUACAGAGUAGUAAAACAGAGGUGUAAAACAGAGAAAAAAAAACAAAUAAAUUUCGCCGUCAUGGUUGUAGCUCCGUCAAUUCACAAUCCAUAAACGGAGAAGAUUAUAACUACAACCAUAACAAUCUAACAACAUCAAUAUAGUUUGAGUUUUUUUGCAGGGAAAAUAAUAAAGAAGGAGUGAAAAACAAAACAAACGCAACUAUUCCAUUGCAGAUCGUGAUCUCUGAUUGCUAUACCACCGACGGGAAUCUCCGUUCACACAGUCGAAGCUCCGGCGAAAUCACCACAACCGCUCGCAACCUCACGCCGAUUCGACGAACCGCCUGCACCACAUCUGCGUUCAGCACCGUCGAGAGUCAUCUCGACGCCAACAAGCAAACAACUCCCUCCCUCGAUGGCUCCGCGUGACCGCGUGCAUCCGAUCCUCCCCGCCGAUCCUUUCUCCGAUCAACACUCCGACCGCCGAUUGCCCUUCGUCCGCCGCAAUCAGGUAAGUAUCUUCUUUUCCCUUUUUAUGUUUCUGUGAGAAUACAAUAUGUGUGUUUGUUGUUCGUACGAAUCAAGAAAUUCUUGGGGAAGUUGAAUCUGAGAGAGAUAUGAAGAAGAGCUUACAAGAAUGAAGGAGAAUGGGCAUUGUGAGAGAAGAAAAGAGGUUGAGGUUUUUUGGAUACCUCUGAUGAGACGGAAAAGGCAUGAGAAGGAAAAAGAAAUAAGAGAAAGAAAGAGUGUGAGGCAAAGAAAUGGAGAGGGAAUGGAUUGGAGAUAAGGUUGAAUUUGUUUUUCGGGUAAGAGAGUAGCCCCACGUGUCAAUUUUUUGUUGGUUAUUGUUGGAAACAAGCCAAAGAUGCAAAGAUGCUAUCAGCCAAGAGGCAACGCCUCCUACCUUCAACAGGUUGUGAGUUGCUGAACGCGAUUUGAUACAAACGGAUGAAGGUUGAAUUCAGUAGAGGCUAUGUGAUCCAAAGCUGAUGAAGGUCGAACAUGAUUUUGAUAACUGUUGUGUUGUAGAAUGACACCACACAAGAUAAAUGUUUCAAGAACAGAUUGAGAUUGUGCAAGAACAUAUACAAUAACUGGAGACCACCAAUUCUGAAGAUAACAGCAUGCCAUCAUCAGACAUACUGAUAUUGUAAAUUCCCCUUAUAAUUGAUUUCUUUGUUUUUUUUUAAAUGCUAGAUGAAAAAAUUGCUGAACAUUUUAUCAUAAAUAACUAUAAUAUGUAGUGGCUUUCCUGUUAUAAUUGACAAGUAUAUGUUUAGUAAUGUGAAUAGUUCCAUAUUUUUAUGAUUAGAGAGGAUUUCUAUUAAUCUGUCUAUUUUCCAUUUGUAAGACACUGUUUGUUUGUUUUUUUACUCAAUUUGAUUUUCAAUUUUGCUAUAGAUACAGUUUGUAAAUUUUUUUACUGCUUUUUUUUUCAUAAUCCACUAAAAGUAUGUGGUUGAUGUCAAACAAAUAAUAGGUUAAUUCACCUCAUUAUAUGGUUAAUGCAUUGUUAAAAGUUUGUUUGAUAUAAUAAAUUUUUAUUUUGUAUAAUCAUUGAAAAGUGCAACGGUUAACUACUUUCAAAUACAUGGUUAAUUCAAUUAGUAUGAUGUUAAUGAGUUACUCUGAUACUUUGUUAAAAGUGGUUAACAAUAAUGUAAUUUUGUGGUAAGUAAUCACAUAUUGAUAUGGAUUAACCAAUUACUUGAAGGUAAUUAACAAUGUAAGUUCGACUUUUAACUUUAAUUGGUCUUUAUUUUUUGUAGUGUCUGUUCUUUACACCUCACACUAUAGAAAAAUGGUAUUUUUAUUAGACAUGCUGCUAUUUAUCCCACUACUUCAAUUUCAUAAGAAGACUAGAAACCAAUGCUAUGAUAGAAACUAACAUGAUAUAGAAUGAAAUAAUCCUGCACCUCCCAAUGCUAAAAUAAUUUUUUUUUCCAAACAAAUUUUACUAUAAAGAACUUCCCUCUAACUUUCUCUAUUUAUUCUAAACAAAAACUUAGAUAAUAUACUAUACUAUAAUUAUCACUAAACUGCUAAUAAUAUAAUAAUAAUUGUCAUUUUUUCUUGCAAUAAUAAUAAUUAUCACUUUUUUUUUUAAUAGGCAAUUGAUAUAUACCACUUAAAUAAACAUAACUGCUUAUAAAAUUAAAUUGUAUUGAGAAGGAGAAAAUGAAGAGGACAAUUAAUUAAAAAAAUAAUCAAGUGUUUAUAAUUUACUUU